AACGAACGCUGGCGGCAGGCCUAAUACAUGCAAGUCGAACGCUCCAGCAAUGGAGAGUGGCAGACGGGUGAGUAACGCGUGGGAACCUUCCCAGUGGUACGGAAUAGCUCAGGGAAACUUGAGGUAACACCGUAUACGCCCUUCGGGGGAAAGAUUUAUCGCCAUUGGAUGGGCCCGCGUCGGAUUAGCUAGUUGGUGGGGUAAUGGCCUACCAAGGCGACGAUCCGUAGCUGGUCUGAGAGGAUGAUCAGCCACACUGGGACUGAGACACGGCCCAGACUCCUACGGGAGGCAGCAGUAGGGAAUAUUGGACAAUGGGCGAAAGCCUGAUCCAGCCAUGCCGCGUGAGUGACGAAGGCCUUCGGGUUGUAAAGCUCUUUUGGCGGGGACGAUAAUGACGGUACCCGCAGAAUAAGCUCCGGCUAACUUCGUGCCAGCCGCCGCAGUAACAC
rnacentral:rRNA from 1 species